rnacentral:rRNA from 1 species
AGCGAACUCUGGCGGCAGGCUUAACACAUGCAAGUCGAGCGGGCAUCCUUGUGGUGUCAGCGGCAGACGGGUGAGUAACGCGUGGGAACGUGCCCUUCGGUUCGGAAUAACUCAGGGAAACUUGAGCUAAUACCGGAUACGUGCGAGAGCAGAAAGGUUUAUCUGCCGAAGGAUCGGCCCGCGUCUGAUUAGCUAGUUGGUGAGGUUACGGCUCACCAAGGCGACGAUCAGUAGCUGGUCUGAGAGGAUGAUCAGCCACACUGGGACUGAGACACGGCCCAGACUCCUACGGGAGGCAGCAGUGGGGAAUAUUGGACAAUGGGGGCAACCCUGAUCCAGCCAUGCCGCGUGAGUGAUGACGGCCUUAGGGUUGUAAAGCUCUUUUCUCCGGGACGAUAAUGACGGUACCGGAGGAAUAAGCCCCGGCUAACUUCGUG